rnacentral:rRNA from 1 species
UACGUAGGGUGCGAGCGUUAAUCGGAAUUACUGGGCGUAAAGUGUGCGCAGGCGGCAGAGCAAGUCGAGUGUGAAAGCCCCGGGCUUAACUUGGGAAUUGCGCUCGAAACUACUUUGCUGGAGUGUGGCAGAGGAAGGUGGAAUUCCACGUGCAGCGGUGAAAUGCGUAGAGAUGUGGAGGAACACCAAUGGCGAAGGCAGCCUUCUGGGCCAACACUGACGCUCAUGCACGAAAGCGUGGGGAGCAAACAGG